rnacentral:rRNA from 1 species
UAUAGAGGGGGCAAGCGUUAUUCGGAAUUAUUGGGCGUAAAGGGCGCGUAGGCGGCCUGGCAAGUGGAAGGUGAAAUCCCUCGGCUUAACCGAGGAACUGCCUUCCAAACUGCUUGGCUUGAGUCCGGGAGAGGUGAGUGGAAUUCCCAGUGUAGCGGUGAAAUGCGUAGAUAUUGGGAGGAACACCAGUGGCGAAGGCGGCUCACUGGACCGGAACUGACGCUGAUGCGCGAAAGCGUGGGGAGCAAACGGG